UAUUUUGAUGUUAUAUUAGCAUUCCUGUUGCUGAUUUUCUGUCUCGAGGGAAAAAGUUAUUCAGGAGAGUAUGUUGAUCUUGGUUCAUAAUCCAUCUCCAUUAAUCUAAUUUAGUUGUUAAAUACAAAGGUAAUUUUCUAUGUCAUAGUUUUAGUCAACCUAAAUUUUUCCUACUUUCUUUAAGUGUGGUCAUCAGGUCUAAGAGAAAUAGGGGUUACUCUCGUUCCUUUUUCGCAGAAAAACUGCCGCAUAAUCUAUGUUUGCAUUGGAAUGUGGUGGUGCUCACUUCGGGCAUUGUUUGGGAACUGACUUUGGCUGCUUUUUCUUAGGGACACAGCAGGUCAGGAGAGAUUCAACAGCAUUACCUCAGCUUAUUACAGAAGUGCCAAGGGGAUCAUAUUAGUAUAUGAUAUCACUAAGAAGGAGACGUUUGAUGAUUUGCCGAAAUGGAUGAAGAUGAUUGAUAAGUAUGCUUCAGAAGAUGCAGAGCUUCUCUUAGUUGG
rnacentral:sRNA from 1 species